UUUCCUACGGGACGCAGCAGUGAGGAAUAUUGGUCAAUGGGAGAGAUCCUGAACCAGCCAAGCCGCGUGAGGGAAGACGGCCCUAUGGGUUGUAAACCUCUUUUGUCGGAGAACAAAACCCGGGACGAGUCCCGGACUGCGUGUAUCCGAAGAAAAAGCAUCGGCUAACUCCGUGCCAGCAGCCGCGGUAAUACGGAGGAUGCGAGCGUUAUCCGGAUUUAUUGGGUUUAAAGGGUGCGCAGGCGGCCUGUUAAGUCAGCGGUAAAAGCCCGGGGCUCAACCCCGGCGAGCCGUUGAA
rnacentral:rRNA from 1 species